CAACUCUGGAGAGACCGGCCGAUGCCGGCGCCGAAGGGGCACGAAACGCAGGCAGGCCACGCGCCAGGCCGCGUUUUUAAACUCUCAGGCAAAAGGACAGAGGGGCGCGA
rnacentral:ncRNA from 20 species